UCUUUGGUUAUCUAGCUGUAUGAGAUUGUUGAACCAUCAUAAAGCUAGAGAACCGAAUGUA
rnacentral:pre_miRNA from 1 species